UCCCUACGGGACGCAGCAGUGGGGAAUAUUGCACAAUGGGGGAAACCCUGAUGCAGCAACGCCGCGUGAGUGAAGAAGUCAUUCGUGAUGUAAAGCUCUAUCAGCAGGGAAGAAAAUGACGGUACUUGAGUAAGAAGCCCCGGCUAACUACGUGCCAGCAGCCGCGGUAAUACGUAGGGGGCAAGCGUUAUCCGGAUUUACUGGGUGUAAAGGGAGCGUAGACGGCGAUGCAAGCCAGAUGUGAAAGCCCGGGGCUCAACCCCGGGACUGCAUUUGGAACUGUGUGGCUGGAGUGUCGGAGAGGC
rnacentral:rRNA from 1 species